rnacentral:piRNA from 1 species
UUGCGUAUUCGUGCGCAUGUGAGUGAC